GACAGAGGGUGCAAACGUUGUUCGGAAUUACUGGGCGUAAAGCGCGUGUAGGCGGCUAUGUAAGUCGGGCGUGAAAUCCCACGGCUCAACCGUGGAAGUGCACCCGAAACUGCGUAGCUAGAGUCCUGGAGAGGAAGGUGGAAUGCUUGGUGUAGAGGUGAGAUUCGUAGAUAUCAAGCGGAACACCGGUGGCGAAGGCGGCCUUCUGGACAGUGACUGACGCUGAGACGCGAAAGCGUGGGGAGCAAACAGG
rnacentral:rRNA from 1 species